ACUCCUACGGGAGGCAGCAGUGGGGAAUCUUGCGCAAUGGGCGGAAGCCUGACGCAGCAACGCCGCGUGAGGGAUGACGGCCUUCGGGUUGUAAAUCCUCUUUCGCGAUCGACGAAGGUCAUGCUUUUGGCAUGGCCUGACGGUAGGUCGAGAAGAAGCACCGGCCAACUACGUGCCAGCAGCCGCGGUAAUACGUAGGGUGCGAGCGUUGUCCGGAAUUAUUGGGCGUAAAGAGCUCGUAGGCGGUGUGUCGCGUCGGCCGUGAAAACCUGGGGCUUAACUCUGGGCGUGCGGUCGAUACGGGCAUCACUAGAGUUCGGCAGGGGAGACUGGAAUUCCUGGUGUAGCGGUGAAAUGCGCAGAUAUCAGGAGGAACACCGGUGGCGAAGGCGGGUCUCUGGG
rnacentral:rRNA from 1 species